UCCUACGGGAGGCAGCAGUGGGGAAUAUUGCACAAUGGGCGCAAGCCUGAUGCAGCGACGCCGCGUGAGGGAUGAAGGCCUUCGGGUUGUAAACCUCUUUCAGCAGGGAAGAAGCAGCCGGGUUUUCUUGGUUGUGACGGUACCUGCAGAAGAAGCACCGGCUAACUACGUGCCAGCAGCCGCGGUAAUACGUAGGGUGCAAGCGUUGUCCGGAAUUAUUGGGCGUAAAGAGCUUGUAGGUGGUUUGUCGCGUCUGUUGUGAAAUUUCGGGGCUCAACCCCGAACUUGCAGUGGAUACGGGCAGACUAGAGUGUGGUAGGGGAGACUGGAAUUCCUGGUGUAGCGGUGAAAUGCGCAGAUAUCAGGAGGAACACCGAUGGCGAAGGCAGGUCUCUGGGCCAUUACUGACACUGAGAAGCGAAAGCAUGGGGAGCGAACAGGAUUAGAUACCCUGGUAGUCCAUGCCGUAAACGGUGGGAACUAGGUGUGGGUCUCAUUCCACGAGAUCCGUGCCGCAGCUAACGCAUUAAGUUCCCCGCCUGGGGAGUACGGCCGCAAGGCUAAAACUCAAAGGAAUUGACGGGGGCCCGCACAAGCGGCGGAGCAUGCGGAUUAAUUCGAUGCAACGCGAAGAACCUUACCAAGGCUUGACAUGUGCCGGUAAAGUGCAGAGAUGUGCUCCCCGCAAGGUCGGUACACAGGUGGUGCAUGGUUGUCGUCAGCUCGUGUCGUGAGAUGUUGGGUUAAGUCCCGCAACGAGCGCAACCCUCGUUCUAUGUUGCCAGCGGGUUAUGCCGGGGACUCAUAGGAGACUGCCGGGGUCAACUCGGAGGAAGGUGGGGAUGACGUCAAAUCAUCAUGCCCCUUAUGUCUUGGGCUUCACGCACGCUACAAUGGCCAGUACAAAGGGCUGCGAUACCGUAAGGUGGAGCGAAUCCCAAAAAACUGGUCUCAGUUCGGAUUGGGGUCUGCAACUCGACCCCAUGAAGUCGGAGUCGCUAGUAAUCGCAGAUCAGCAACGCUGCGGUGAAUACGUUCCCGGGCCUUGUACACACCGCCAU
rnacentral:rRNA from 1 species